AUUGAACGCUGGCGGCCGGCCUAACACAUGCAAGUCGAACGAGUGGCAGACGGGUGAGUAAUGUCUGGGCAACUGCCUGAUGGUGGGAGAUAACUACUGGAGACGGUAGCUCAUACCGCAUACCCUCAGAUGUGCACAGAUGGGAUUAGCUUGUUGGUGGGGUAACGGCGCACCAAGGCGACGAGCCCUAGCUGGUCUGAGAGGAUGACCAGCCACACUGGAACUGAGACACGGUCCAGACUCCUACGGGAGGCAGCAGUGGGGAAUAUUGCACAAUGGGCGCAAGCUUGAUGGAGCAAUGCGGCGUGUAUGAAGAAGGCCUGCGGGUUGUAAAGUACAUUCAGCGGGGAGGCGUUACCCGCAGAAGAAGCACCGGCUAACGCCGUGCCAGCAGCCGCGGUAAUUC
rnacentral:rRNA from 1 species